UACUGCUUCUCCAGUAUCACCUCUUUCUGGCAAAUCUUAUGCUCUGAAGAGCCAAUAAGUAAGAAAUGAGAAAGUAUUUUCUCUAAUGUUAACAAAGUUAGUGUAAUUCACUUUGUCAGGUUGGACUUUUGAAGCUCCAAACUACACUCUCAUAGCAACUCUACAACUCUCUUUCCUGUAUGGCUAGGCAAAAUGACAGGGUAUCAUUAGCUGCCCAGAUUCAUGUAGGCUUAAGGUGAAGCCCAUGUGCAUUAGUAUCUUAUUUUCAAGAUGAAAAGCUGGAAAGUAACCAUUCCAAAAUUAAAAUAUUGUAUUCAUCAUCAUAUUAAUUAUGGAAACAAUUAAAUAAUGAAAUAAAGUCUUUUAAACAUCUACGCAUUAACUGGAAGAUUCUACCACAGAAAUAUCAAAUUUAUGACCUCCCAGGAUGGCACAACACUCUGCUAAUCACCAAUGGUCUUCAGCAAAAUGUGAUACCUCUCCUUCAUAAAGGACUGUGCUGGAUGAUCCAGGUGGCUGUAGAAAAAUGACACCAAGAAACAGAAUGAGCUUCUUGCAAGCAUUAUGUUCCUUUUCUUUUGUAAAAUGGGGGAAAGGAUCUAGCACCUUGGAAAGAUUGGUGUAGAACUUCAAAGCACAGAUAUGAACGUAUGAGAUUUUUCAUGCUACUACAAGAAGAUUACAGUAUACUGUGUCUGAGGCCUGUAUCCUCAAAUUCAGCUUUCAAAUGAACCCUGAAUGUUCUGCUUUCAAUAUUCACUUGAGAAGAAAAGGACUUAGAAACAAAAUCAAUUUAAAGUAUUUAUUUACCAGUAGCUAGUUAGUUAAUUCAUUAAAUUUAUUAGCCGUCCAACUCCAAUAAACUCUUGGAUUGUUUCAC